ACAAAGCCUGUCCAGAUUGCAUAUUUGAAGUCUGUUUUGAAGGUUUUCACACUUGGUGAAACUCUUCACAUAAAGCCCAAUUCUAGCUUUGCAGGUUUGCAUUUCCUUUUUUUUUUUUUUUUUUUUAAAAAAAGAAUUUUUCUGCGAAAAUCCUUUAAAAAGAAAAAAAAGCUUUAUACAGCUGGGCACAGUGACUCACGCCUGUAAUCCCACCACUUUGGGAGGCUGAGGAGGGUGGAUCACUUCAAGUCAGAAGUUCAAGACCAGCCUGGCCAACAUAAUGAAACUCCGUCUCUACUGAAAAUACAAAAAUUAGCCGGCCAUGGUGGCGUGCACCUACAAUCCCGGCUACUCAGGAGGCUGAGGCACGAGAAUCACUUGAAGCUAGGAGGCAGAGGUUACGGUGAGCCGAGAUCAUGCCACUGCACUCCAGCCUGGGUGACAGAGUGAGACUAUGUCUCAAAAAAAUAAAAAGGCUUUCUAACUUGCUAC
rnacentral:lncRNA from 10 species